CGGCGGACGGGUGAGUAAUGCCUAGGAAUCUGCCUGGUAGUGGGGGACAACGUUUCGAAAGGAACGCUAAUACCGCAUACGUCCUACGGGAGAAAGCAGGGACCUUCGGGCCUUGCGCUAUCAGAUGAGCCUAGGUCGGAUUAGCUAGUUGGUGAGGUAAUGGCUCACCAAGGCGACGAUCCGUAACUGGUCUGAGAGGAUGAUCAGUCACACUGGAACUGAGACACGGUCCAGACUCCUACGGGAGGCAGCAGGC
rnacentral:rRNA from 1 species